rnacentral:tRNA from 1 species
UAUUUAUUGGUGUAGGGGCACGAAAAACUUUGAUUUUUUAAGGUAUGGUUAAAUUCCAUAAUAAAUAA